rnacentral:rRNA from 1 species
AAAUUGAAGAGUUUGAUCAUGGCUCAGAUUGAACGCUGGCGGCAGGCCUAACACAUGCAAGUCGAACGGUAACAGGAAGCAGCUUGCUGCUUUGCUGACGAGUGGCGGACGGGUGAGUAAUGUCUGGGAAACUGCCUGAUGGAGGGGGAUAACUACUGGAAACGGUAGCUAAUACCGCAUAACGUCGCAAGACCAAAGAGGGGGACCUUCGGGCCUCUUGCCAUCGGAUGUGCCCAGAUGGGAUUAGCUAGUAGGUGGGGUAAAGGCUCACCUAGGCGACGAUC